UACGGGGGGGGCAAGCGUUGUUCGGAAUUAUUGGGCGUAAAGGGCGCGUAGGCGGCCUGGCAAGUGGAAGGUGAAAUCCCUCGGCUUAACCGAGGAACUGCCCUCCAAACUGCUUGGCUUGAGUCCGGGAGAGGUGAGUGGAAUUCCCAGUGUAGCGGUGAAAUGCGUAGAUAUUGGGAGGAACACCAGUGGCGAAGGCGGCUCACUGGACCGGAACUGACGCUGAGGCGCGAAAGCGUGGGGAGCAAACGGG
rnacentral:rRNA from 1 species